GCCAAAACUAGCCCAAACAUCCAUAAAUUCAAUUAUCACAAAAUAAUAAAUCAAAACAUUUAGUUAACUCUUAAAAGUAUAGGAGAUAGAAAUUUAAUUUGGCGCUAUAGAGAUAGUACCGCAAGGGAAAGAUGAAAGAAAAUGUUAAAAGCAUAAUAUAGCAAAGAUUACCCCUUGUACCUUUUGCAUAAUGAGCUAGCUAGACAUAAUCUAACAAAGAGAACUUAAGCUAGAUACCCCGAAACCAGACGAGCUACCUAUGAACAAUCUUUUACAGGAUGAACUCAUCUAUGUCGCAAAAUAGUGAGAAGAUUUAUAGGUAGAGGUGAAACGCCUAACGAGCCUGGUGAUAGCUGGUUGCCCAGAAUAGAAUUUUAGUUCAACUUUAAACUUACCUAAAAAAAUCCACUAAUUCUAAUGUAAGUUUAAAAUAUAAUCUAAAAAGGUACAGCUUUUUAGAUUCAGGAUACAGCCUUUUUUAGUGAGUAAGCAUCAACAUAACCAUAGUUGGCUUAAAAGCAGCCAUCAAUUAAGAAAGCGUUCAAGCUCAACAAACAAAAUAACUUAAUUCCAAAAAUAUGCAACCAACCCCUAAUAUUGAUACUGGGCUAAUCUAUUUAAUUAUAGAAGAAAUAAUGCUAAUAUGAGUAACAAGAAAUAUUUUUCUCCUCGCAUAAGCUUAUAUCAGAACGGAUAACCACUGAUAGUUAACAGCAAGAUAUAAAUAACCCAACAAUAGACCUAAUAUCAACCUAACUGUUAACCCAACACAGGCAUGCAAUUAAGGAAAGAUUAAAAGAAGUAAAAGGAACUCGGCAAACACAAACCCCGCCUGUUUACCAAAAACAUCACCUCUAGCAUAUCCAGUAUUAGAGGCACUGCCUGCCCAGUGACAUUCGUUAAACGGCCGCGGUAUCCUGACCGUGCAAAGGUAGCAUAAUCACUUGUUCCCUAAAUAGGGACUCGUAUGAAUGGCCACACGAGGGUUUUACUGUCUCUUACUUCCAAUCCGUGAAAUUGACCUUCCCGUGAAGAGGCGGGAAUACAACAAUAAGACGAGAAGACCCUAUGGAGCUUCAAUUAACUGAUCCAAGGAGAUCAAUAUAUCCCGACAGGAACAAUAAUCCUCCCAAUGGAUCAACAAUUUAGGUUGGGGUGACCUCGGAGUACAAAAUAACCUCCGAAUGAUUUCUAAUCAAGACUAACCAGUCAAAAGUAUUACAUCAUUAAUUGACCCAAAACUAUUUGAUCAACGGAACAAGUUACCCUAGGGAUAACAGCGCAAUCCUAUUUUAGAGUCCAUAUCGACAAUAGGGUUUACGACCUCGAUGUUGGAUCAGGACAUCCCGAUGGUGCAGCAGCUAUCAAAGGUUCGUUUGUUCAACGAUUAAAGUCCUACGUGAUCUGAGUUCAGACCGGAGCAAUCCAGGUCGGUUUCUAUCUAUUAAACAGUUUCUCCCAGUACGAAAGGACAAGAGAAGCAAGGCCCACUUUACCAAAGCGCCUUCAACCCAAUAGAUGAUAUAAUCUUAAUCUAAACAGUUCCCCAUACACACUACCCGAGAGCUCGGGUCU
rnacentral:rRNA from 1 species